CACAUGGGCUAGACCAGCAUUCCAGGCAAAAGAGGGGAUGGUUCCUUACCAUGAUGGGAGGUUCCUCGAAGGCAGAAAGGCAUCCUGGCCAGGGAAGAAAGAGCAACCAGGCCCGGAUGGGAUGGCCAGAAUAAAUGGAUGGACAGCCCAUUGAAAAUAAAAGAGAUCACGGGGGACUUGCUAAUCCCCCCAGAUGAUAGAUGGCAGCAGCCCUCCAUGAAGGCACCCAUUGGUCAACAGGAGUUGUUGCUAGGAUGGCAGAGCAACAGAACUUGGCAGCCCUUCUUCAUGCCACUGCAACAGAACUCCAGGCACUAAAGAUUCAGGCUGAGGAGCAACGGACUCAGUUCGCUGAGGCAGAGCUACCUGCCAUCACUGAGAGAAUACAGAGUGGGCACACAUACUGGCACUGUUCUUGAAGGGACUGGCUCAGUGGACUUAUUAUGACCUUGAUGACCAGAUUGCUGACCAACUAAAAGCCGAGAUGCUACUGUUUGUAUGCCAUUAGUCUAGACCAGCAGACAAGGGCUUGUAAGGAGUGGAGGUUUGACCCAGAGUGGCCAACCUGCCCCCAAGUAUUUGAAUUAUUGAGACAGAGUCGGGUGCUAGCUAUGGCCAGAGAUCCACAAUCCAAAAAGGGUGGUUCAGGUUGUAACAUGCAACCUCCUGGUGAAUGCCUGUCCCAAUUUCCAAUGGGUGGAAAUAAAACUAUCAACCCUUAUGCAGCACUGGGCAACUUCACAGGUUGAGCUCUCAGAAUGCCCUAUAGAUCAGCACAAGUAUGAGAUGAAAACAUCAGAAGAACUAAAGGAAGAGCACAUGUCACUUUCCCAAUUUUCCAAAAUGUCAAAAUGUCAUACCACCGUGACUUGUCCUUGCUUUGGUGAGCCAACGAACUGCAGUUGGGCGUAAGAUACCUCUGACAUCACUUCUUCCUGAUGGAAGGACUAAAAACCAUUGCUCUGCCAUCUUUGUUAGUUCUAUCCCAAACUUGGGUCUGCAAUGACGUCUCCCACUGAGAAACUGCCCCUUCAGGGCAAUGGAGCCAGAGAAGCCCUGCCUCUUCCAGUCCUGUCAAUAUAAAAGGGAAACAUACCAAGUAGGUGGCAUCUCAAUUGGACCUGAGAGCCGACUGUCAGGAAUGACUCUAGACCCUUCCUAUCCCAGAAACACCACUAGGGGACAAUAAGAGGCUAAUCUUUUCUAUGGUCACAGCCAUUUUUUUCAAAGAUUGCCCGGAAGCCAAGUGACAUCACUUCCUUUACAUCCCUGGCAGCCCUGCCCCUUCAGAGGUCAUUCAUGUAUAACCAGACCAGCAACCGGACAUGGAUGUUCAUUCUUGGACCCUCAGUUACACUGAAAAAAAGAACUAAUGGAAAUAUUGCUUCUUGUCUGCCGGCUUUUUCUCGGUCCUCUCGUG